rnacentral:rRNA from 1 species
UACAGAGGGGGCAAGCGUUAUUCGGAAUUAUUGGGCGUAAAGGGCGCGUAGGCGGCCUUCUAAGUCGAACGUGAAAUCCCCGGGCUCAACCCGGGAACUGCGUCCGAUACUGGAAGGCUUGAAUCCGGGAGAGGGAUGCGGAAUUCCAGGUGUAGCGGUGAAAUGCGUAGAUAUCUGGAGGAACACCGGUGGCGAAGGCGGCAUCCUGGACCGGUAUUGACGCUGAGGCGCGAAAGCCAGGGGAGCAAACGGG